rnacentral:rRNA from 1 species
AACGAACGCUGGCGGCGCGCCUAAUACAUGCAAGUCGAGCGAGAAGACGUAGCAAUACGUUUGUAAAGCGGCGAACGGGUGAGGAAUACAUGGGUAACCUACCCUCGAGUGGGGGAUAACUAGCCGAAAGGUUAGCUAAUACCGCGUACGCUCCUUGGACUUCGGUUCAGGGAGGAAAGCGAUACCGUGGGUAUCGCGCUCUUGGAUGGGCUCAUGUCCUAUCAGCUUGUUGGUGAGGAACGGCUCACCAAGGCUUCGACGGGUAGCUGGUCUGAGAGGACGAUCAGCCACACUGGCACUGCGACACGGGCCAGACUCCUACGGGAGGCAGCAGUGAGGAAUAUUGCGCAAUGGCCGAAAGGCUGACGCAGCGACGCCGCGUGAAGGAUGAAGUCCGUUAGGACGUAAACUUCUUUUGUCAGGGGAUGAAUGUUCCGGUUUCCGGAAUUGACCGUACCCUGCGAAUAAGGAUCGGCUAACUACGUGCCAGCCGCCGCGGUAAG